AUGCACAGGGUUGCACUCAAUGAGUAAGCUAACUUGACCGACCUCGUCACCUCUGAGAAUGCUUCCAAAUCCAUGUUGACAUAAUAUUUCAAGGUCAACCAGGACCACCCGUGGGCCAAGCAUAUAUUGUACAGGGAUUUUCCUGGAAGCUUCACAUGGCAGAAGGGACCGAAGUAUUGGAAGCCGCAUGAGGAGCGUUAUCAAAUAGGUCGAAUCGUGUCUGCCAAUCCUGCCGAGGGGGAGUGAUACUAUUUGAGUGUGUUGCUAAACCAUGUUUUGGGCAAGACAUCCUUCGAGGACCUGCUCACCAUGGAUGGAAGGCUAUGUGGGAGCUUUUGAGAGGCUGCUGAGAUGUUGGGACUCAUCGAGGCAUACAACACGCUCGACGAUUGUCUUACUAAGGAAAAGCAGUGGGCAAUGUCGUGUUCGCUUAGGAGGCUCUUCACUACAAUCUUGGUGCAUUGUGAGCCAGGCGGCGUGCAUGGUUUACGGGAUAGGCACUUCGAGCCUAUGUGUGAUGACUAUCAUCGAUCACACACGUGCCCGAAUGAGGUGGAGCAGAUGGUGUUGCUUGACAUUAGGGGUAUGUUGCAGUCCAUGGGCAAAGACAUAGUUGAUUUCGAUAUUCCGAGCAUCGACGAUACGUUCGACCCAACUGGGGGCAAGGCCAGAGAGGUGAUCAAGGAAUCCACCGUUGAGUUUGACGUGAACAACACUAAAUUGGCAUCAUCGCUAAACUUCAAGUAGAGGGUUGUGUAUGAUGAGAUACUAGCGGCAGUUGACCGCGAUGGUGGGGGUGUAUUCUUUGCUGAUGGUUCGGAGGGUAUAGGGAAUAACUUCCUAUACAGGGUGCUGCUCACCAAGGUUUAGAGCGAGGGAAACAUCGCUAUCGCUACUGCAACAUCGGGCGUUGCCGCUUCUAUCGUGCCUGGAGGCAAGACUGCCCACUCGAGGUUCAAGAUCCCAUUGAGCUGCGAUGAUGGUGCCUCAUGCAGCUUCACCAAGCAGAGUGGGACCGCCAAGCUGCUAAGGAUGGCCUUGAUACUAUGGGAUGAGGCCACCACGACUAAGCGACAGGCGGUCGAGGCACUGGACAAUAGUAUGGGUGACAUCAUGGGAAGGCUAGACCGACCCUUUGGAGGAAAGGCAGUAGUUUUUGGCGGAGACUUCAGGCAGGUGCUUUCGGUCGUCAGGAGGGGGUCCCGGGGUCAGAAAUUUGAUGCCACCCUUCGAAAUUACUUGCUAAGGGUUGGCAAUGGCACCAAGGAAGCUGACGAUCGAGACAACAUACGACUGCCUGAAGAUAUUUGUGUACCAUCUACAGGCAAAGUGGACGACCUGGAGAAGCUGAUUGACCAUGUAUUUCCUGGUCUAGAUGACAACAUGUUUAAUCCGAAUUACAUGACUUCUCGCGCAAUCCUCUCCAUGAACGACAACGUCGACAAGAUAAACAUACAGAUGAUAGAGUGUUUUCAGGGAGAAGAAGUGAUCUACCAUAGCUUUGACAGUGUAGAGGACGCACCAUAUGGCUACUAUGCUCCCAAGUUCCUGAACGGAUUGACUCCCAAUGGUCUACCUCCGCAUGCACUAAAGUUGAAGCUGAACUGCCCUGUCAUACUUCUGAGGAACAUUGAUCCAGCUAACGGACUGUCUAAGGGGACCAGACUUGUGGUCUGUGGUUUCGAGAGGAACACCAUUGACGCGGAAAUCGUGAUUGGACAACACGCGGGUAGGAGGGUCUUCCUUCCUCAAAUACCCCUAUGCCCAUCUGACAACGACAUGUGUGACGCUCCCGAUUCAAUCGUACACUAA
rnacentral:rRNA from 1 species